CUCUCUUUCUCUUUCUUUCCCUGCGUUGCCCUAUUUUCAUAUCUCUCACACUUCAUCUAGGGUUUAUAUGAUUUUUUAAGUUUAAUUUUGUGUUGAUUUCGUAAAUGGGUUUGGUUGAAUUGUUUGAUUUCUAUGAAAUUAUGUUAUUCUUCUUGUCCAAAAUUGGUUUGAUUUUUGUUUGAUUUCUAUUUGAAGUGGGUUACUUCUCUGGCAAUUGAGUAUCUUAGCAUCUCAAAGCUGAAUAUAUGAUUUGGGGGUUUUUAUUUGCCUUGAAUCAAUCACACCCACAAUUGGACACAGAUGUAUGUUUUGAUUUUGUAUUUACUUUGACAUUCAUUCCAAUGUUUUGUAGGCUUUGAUUCCUAUACCAAAGCCAACUGGUUACACUGGCGCUGAUCCGUAUAAAAUAGGUACUGUGGGAGCGAUUUGCUUGGUGUCACUGCCAAAGUUGUAGAUAUGCCACACCGAUGGAAGAACAGUCAGAAAUACAUGUGGCUUCUGGGUUUUAUGUUCUGUUUGGAUCAGAUGGCUUUGUUGUGUGGACUUGUGGAUAAUCCAUAUUGGUGUAUGGAGAAGAAUUUUCACUUUUGUAUAGAACUAAUAUAAUGCUUUUGUUGUCCUCAGCUUUUGUGUAGUUCACUAUUAUUGAUACAGAAAACUUCUGGCAAUCAACAGAUAAUGACUGCCGUGGUACAUAGAUCACCUUCUGUUGUGAUACAUAUAUGGCCAUUUGUCGGCGUACAUAUAUGGCCUUUUGUCAUGGCCUAUAGAUCACCUUUUGUCGUGGUACAUAUAUAUAACCAUUUGUCGGCAUACAUAUAUGAUCUUUUGUCAUGGUCUAUAGAAAAACUUUUGUCGUAGUACAUAUAUCACUUUUUGUCGUGUUACAGAUUGCGAUGGUAAUUUGUACCAUGCCAAAUGGUAAUUUCGCUUGGUAGUAAAUGUAUUUUUUGUAUACGGAGGGUUUUGAUUUUUGUAUGAUAUAUUUUGUAUGAAAUUAUUAUUUUAGU